AUUUGUUUUCUCACUAUUUAUAACAACAGCUACUGAAACACCUCGAAAUCCCAUAACCCUUAACCAAAGAAUGUGAAAUUUAAUGGAUAAAGCCAUCUGCCUUAGGAUUAGAAUGCUGCUCCUCUGCUGCUAAGGGGAUUAUAGCAGCUCUAGUCCAUUCGCUUUGUGCCCUAUGCAUUAUUUUGUACAUCUCAGCCAGCCUUACUGUGACCAACACCCUGUUCUCCUCUUCUUGAGAUCAAGCAGAUUGAGGGGAGCCCAUUCAAGCCUGUGGACGUUGCAACAACUAGUAUAUGGCUUUCCAAGGAGCCACAGGAUGUUUCACUAGACUGACUGCCAGCAUUUCCAUGGAAACCCCCAAAAAUAAAGACUUUCCCAGCCUUGUGAGAACACACCUGCAAGAACCAGAAUCACAUUUCGCCUUUGGCCUCUCAAAAGUGACACUCCUCCAUUUUGGUGUCACCUAAGGACAUUUGUUUUCACACUAGGAAUAUCUUUAGACUAUCUCCAUGCCAGUUAAGUGGAACCCGUGCCUAUACACUGCUUGCUGGGAUCAUAGGCAAAGCCGACACUUUCAAAGAUCAUACUCCAUCAGUAAGGACUGAAGCAGGCUAGAGAUCCAACCCCAAACUACUUCCUCUACAAAACAGAUGAACCAACAACAAAAAAGCUGCCACAUAAAAGAAAUGUUUUGGCUGACAAGGAGUGACUGCAAAACUUUCAGAUGCACAACCUCCAAGGCCACAAUCCUGGAUCUAUAUGCCAAACUCACCCCAGCCCUCCAGCUCAGGGACACCAGAAUGAGAGCUGCAUUGACAAUAGAGAAUUGAGUGGUGACUGCACUGUGGAAACUUGUAAUUUUGGAUUGAUUCUGGUCAGUGGGAAAACAUUCUGGAAGUGGAAAAUCCACUGUGGGGGCCAUUAAAAGUCUCCUGUUAUGCAGCACUGUGACUCUUGGCAAUGCAGGACAUAGUGGAUAGAGUUGCAGCAACGUGCUUCCUGAACUGCAGUGCAGCAACAGGCAGCACACAUAUCCCUAUUUUGGCACUGGACCAGCCUGCCACAGAGAAUGUCAACAAAAAGGGUUACUUUUCUAUGAUUAUGCGAGCACUGGUGUGUCACCGGCAAUGCUUCACUCAUGUCAGUGUUGGCUGGUCAGCGAAGGUGCAGGA